AGGACGAACGCUGGCGGCGUGCUUAACACAUGCAAGUCGAGCGGAAAGGCCCUUCGGGGUACUCGAGCGGCGAACGGGUGAGUAACACGUGAGUAACCUGCCCCUAGCUUCGGGAUAGCUCCGGGAAACCGGAAUUAAUACCGGAUAUGACCACGGCCGACAUCGGCCACGGUGGAAAGAUUCAUCGGCUAGGGAUGGGCUCGCGGCCUAUCAGCUUGUUGGUGGGGUAACAGCCUACCAAGGCGACGACGGGUAGCCGGCCUGAGAGGGCGACCGGCCACACCUGGGACUGAGACACGGCCCAGACUCCUACGGGAGGCAGCAGUGGGAAUAUUGCGCAAUGGGCGAAAGCCUGACGCAGCGACGCCGCGUGGGGGAUGAAGGCCUUCGGGUUGUAAACCCCUUUCAGCAGGGACGAAGCGAAAGUGACGGUACCUGCAGAGAAGCGCCGGCUAACACGUGCCAGCAGCCGC
rnacentral:rRNA from 1 species